rnacentral:rRNA from 1 species
AGUGAACGCUGGCGGCGUGCCUAAUACAUGCAAGUCGAACGAAGUGGCGCACGGGCGAGUAAUAUAUAGUUAAUCUGCCCUACACAGAUGAACAACAGUUGGAAACGACCGCUAAUACCUCAUAGUGUAGGAUGAGACUAUAUCGUAUCAGCUAGUUGGUAAGGUAAUGGCUUACCAAGGCUAUGACGCGUAACUGGUCUGCGAGGAUGAUCAGUAGCAUUGGAACUGAGACACGGUCCAAACUCCUACGGGAGGGAGCAGUAAGGAAUAUUGCGCAAUGGGCGAAACUCUGGCGCAGCACCGCCGCGUGGAGGAUUACACUUUUCGGAGCGUAAACUCGUUUUAUCAGGAAAGCGGUACCUGAUGAAUAAGCACCGGCUAACUCCGUGCCAGCAGCCGCGGUAAUUC